ensembl:lncRNA
GAGGGUCCGAGGAGCCCGUUCAGCCACAGCCACCUGUCUCCGCUGGAGGGUCCGAGGAGCCCGUUCAGCCUCCUGCCUCGUCGGCUGGGGGUCUUGUAGGACCCAGCCAACACAUCCUCAUCUCUAUUGACGGUUCCGGGGAGACCGUUCAGCCACCACCUACGUUGCCGCCUGCAGCGCCCACAUCGUUGCUUGCAGCAUCCCCGCCUGCGGCUCCCACGCCGUCGCCUGCAUGCCACCGCCUGCGGCUCCCACGCCGUCGCCUGCAGUGCCACCGCCUGCGGCUCCCACGCCGUCGCCUGCAGUGCCACCACCUGUUUCGUCGCCUGCAGCUUCGUCCUCGCCUGGUCCGGCUUCAGCUCCAGCUUCGUCUCCUGGUCCAGCUUCAGCCUCGUCGCCUGGUCCAGCCCCAGCUUUAGCGCCUGCAGCGCCUACGCCGUCGCCUGGUCCAGCCCCAGCUUCAGCGUCGCCUGCAGUGCCACCACCUGCGGCUCCCACGCCGUUACCUGCAGUGCCACCACCUGCGGCUCCCACGCCGUCGCCUGCAGCGCCACCUUCGCCCCGUCCGGCCUCCGAGUCUUCGCCUUCGCCCCGUCCGGCCUCCGAGUCGUCGUCCUCGCCGGCUGCGGCCUCCGAGUCUUCAGCGUCGCCGGCUGCAGCCUCCGAGGCUUCAGCGUCGCCUGGUCCAGCUCCCGCUUCAUCGGCAUCGCCUGCAGCGCCACCAUCUCCGGCUUCCGCGCCUGCGCCUCGACAGUGCCGGCCUCCUUCCACGCCUCCGUUUGCACGUCCUCGCCCUUCCGGCCUGCCCGGCCUACUCGUCCUGCCCGGCCUGCUCGCCCUGCACGUCCUGCCCGGCCUGCUCGCCCUGCCCGGCCUGCUCGCCCUGCCCGGCCUGCUCGCCCUGCCCGGCCUGCUCGCCCUGCUCGCCCUGUCCGGCCUGCUCGCCCUGCACGUCCUGUCCGGCCACUUUCCAGGCCAAUGACUGGACGUCGUUGCCGUCAUGGACGGCCCCCUGAACUUUUUGUUUGAACUGUUUUUCCUGGUCGCCUGUGCCUGUCGUGAACCUGUAUUUUGUUGUGUUGCUUUCCGGGCUCCGGUGUUUGCGCUUUUUUUGUUUCUUGCUCCUUGUUUGGUUUGUUUCGAGCCCUCCUUCCUGUUUCCCCCACCGCCCACCCUGGUUGGGUUGUUUUUUGUUGCGGUUUGGGC